CAAAUCUCUGCAUUAUCCCCUUGCUUGGAAUCUUUCAGUCAAGGGGGGCCUUUAGAAAGAAACGUCUCCUACUAAAAUUGUCAUGAAUUGGGCCUCCUUCGUGGGUGCGUUUCAAAAACAAAAUAUUCGCUCUGAAUCCAGGAUCCUCUUCAUAUUCCAAUGUGGAGCCUCAGUGAACCGACUGCCAUGGCGGCUCCCUCGCCGUAGCCGACCGAGCCUUGCAGAUCGUCCACUGGCAAGCCGUCUACUUUACCCCCAAAACGUCUAAGGCGUUCGCAAGAUGCACCGCCAGACAAAAUCUUCGCAUAAACCGACGUUGAUUCCAGGUCUCGGGCUCGCCGUCUUUGUCACUACGCACGUUAGCUACGCCGUUCGCGUACAAUCGUUGAGAAACGUGCUGAUCUUACGCUCUCAGCGUAAACCUAAAUGGAGAAUACGGGAAGCCGUGAACGCGCAAUGGCGACUCGGGGGAGGGUGGAUUUAACCAAUCAGAAAGGGCUAUUCUUCCAGUAGUAGGCGUCAACUGGCUUCAGAGGCUUCCCUCCAAAGCCGCCACAAAUCUCAACAGAGAGCCUCAACAGUGAUGGAUGACUUUUUGGACCAAUGAAGAUCUGGUAUUUAAGUCGCCAUUGACAGCCGCCAGCUGUCACGGGGCAGCAGUAGAAUUCAGCACUGUUGCUAUGUCAGUUCAAGACUGCUCUUCGGGACAAUGUUGUUCUAUUGUCGUAAAUAUCACAAAAUGCGUGUCGUUAGGACACUCAACUUACUGGCUAUUUAUAAUUUAAUUUUUGUUUUAAACUGUCCUAAAUUAACUGCACAUUCAUAACUGGACACUACAUUAGAUACUUCCAGCAGUUUGCAAAGGCUUAAACUGUAACGCAUUCCAAACAGGGGAUUUCUAGAAUGUUGGGUGCAUUAACGUACCUGUAUGAACAGAACUUUAAAUACAACAAUAAGCAUUA